rnacentral:rRNA from 1 species
AAUCCUGAAUUCGAAUGGGGUGAUUCAACCCUUGUCUGGUGUUACCACACAGUAUCUGACCACCCAGAUGUUGCAGGGGCGCCCGCGAUGAUUCAUUUCAUUUGCGGUGUCGUUUCCGGCUAUCACUGGUGAUGGCCAGGAGUAAUCUGGCAUCAGAAGGGCGCAUUUCAUCCCUAGUAGAAACGUCGCGACCCGUUGGGUGCCGGUCAAAGGCCUGGGAUGGCAGACCAUGUGUCCUGUGGGUGUUUUCACAGGCAUGUGGACUCUUGGUGACCCGGCCGGCUGCCCGACGGUCUGACCAGAGGAGCUGAUCCACUAAAUGGAAAACACUAUGGUUGUGAAGUGUCUGGCCCAGUUACGAUGUAGGCGGGGAAAUGGUCUAAACCGGGGGUGCUAGUACCUAGUACAGCCCUGGCUCUGCUUGUCUUCGAUUCUGGUGACCUCAGACCG